GGGUUGUGAGGUUAAGCGACUAAGCGUACACGGUGGAUGCCCUGGCAGUCAGAGGCGAUGAAGGACGUGCUAAUCUGCGAUAAGCGUCGGUAAGGUGAUAUGAACCGUUAUAACCGGCGAUUUCCGAAUGGGGAAACCCAGUGUGUUUCGACACACUAUCAUUAACUGAAUCCAUAGGUUAAUGAGGCGAACCGGGGGAACUGAAACAUCUAAGUACCCCGAGGAAAAGAAAUCAACCGAGAUUCCCCCAGUAGCGGCGAGCGAACGGGGAGCAGCCCAGAGCCUGAAUCAGUGUGUGUGUUAGUGGAAGCGUCUGGAAAGGCGCGCGAUACAGGGUGACAGCCCCGUACACAAAAAUGCACAUACUGUGAGCUCGAUGAGUAGGGCGGGACACGUGGUAUCCUGUCUGAAUAUGGGGGGACCAUCCUCCAAGGCUAAAUACUCCUGACUGACCGAUAGUGAACUAGUACCGUGAGGGAAAGGCGAAAAGAAC
rnacentral:rRNA from 1 species